rnacentral:rRNA from 1 species
GGCCUCAGGGGCGCAAUGCCCUCGACCUAUUCUCAAACUUUAAAUAGGUAGGACAGCGCGGCUGCUUUGUUGAGCCACACCACAGAAUCAAGAGCUCCAAGUGGGACAUUUUUGGUAAGCAGAACUGGUGAUAUGGGAUGAACCGAAAGUCAGGUUAUGGUGCCAAACUGCACGUUAACCUAGAUCCCACAAAAGGUGUUGGUCGAUUAAGACAGCAGGAUGAUGGUCAUAGAAGUUGAAAUCCACUAAAGAAUGUGUAACAACUCACCUUCCGAAUCAACUAACCCUAAAAAUGGAUGGCUCUUAAGCGCGCGACCUACACCCGGUCGUUGGGACAAGUUCCAGGCCUCGAUGAGUAGGAGGGCAUGGUGGUCGCUGCAGAACCUUAGGCGCGAUCCUGGGCAGAGCGGCCGUCGGUGUAGAUCUAGGUGGUAGUAGAAAAUAUUCAAAUGAGAACUUUAAAGGCUAAAGAGGAGAGAGGUUCCAUGUGAAUGACACUUGCACAUGGGUUAGUCGAUCCUAAAGGUCGGGGGAACCCCGAUAGUAGCGCAUUUUGUGCGUACUCCAAAAGGGAAUUGGGUUACAAUUCCUGAAUCGAGAUAUGGCAGCUGACGUCAACAUUACGAAGUCUGGAUACGUCUGCGGGAGCCUUGGGAAGAGUUAUCUUUUUUGUUUAAUAGCCUGCCUACUCUGGAAUCGGCUCAGCCAGAGGUAGGGUCCAGAGGCUGGAAGAGCACCGCACACUGCGUGGUGUCCGAUGCUCUCCCGACGGCCCUUAAAAAUAUGAAGGACCGAAUUCCAUCCACUCCCGGUCGCACUCUUAACCGCAUCAGGUGUCCAAGGUGAACAACCUCUAGUCGAUGGAAUAAUGUAGGCAAGGAAAGUCGGUAAAAUGGAUCUGUAACUUCGGGAAGAGGAUUGACUCUGAGGGCUGGGCACGGGGGUCCCAGUCCCGAACCCAUUGGUUGUUGGUGUAUUGGACGAGCUGCUCCCACAGCAAGAGCGGGUUGCUGCGUGCCGACCUGGGGACAUACUGGGAACGGUUCCUUCAAGGGCCUUCCCCGCGCGUCAAACAACCAACUCAGAACUGGUACAAACAAGCGGAAUCCGACUAUUUAACUAAAACAAAGCAUUGCGAUAGUCCCAAUGGAUAUUCAUGCAAUGUGAUAUCUGCCCUGUGCUUUAAUUGUCAAAGUGAAGAAAUUUAACCAAGCGCAAGUAAACAGCGGGAGUAACUAUGACUCUCUUAAGGUAGCCAAAUACCUCGUCAUCUAAUUAAUGAUGCACAUGAAUGGAUUAACGAUAUUCCCACUAUCCUUGUCUACUAUUCUUCCAAAUCACAGCCAAGGGAACGCGCUUGGUAAAGUCAGUGGGGAAAGAAGAGCCUGUUGAGCUUGAAUCUAGUCCGACUUUAUGAAAUGACAUGAGAGCUGUAGUAUAAGUGGGAGCCGAAAGGCGAAAGUGAAAUACCACCACUUUUAAUGUUAGUUUACUUAUUCUAUGAAUUGGAAGCGGGGAACUGCCCCUCUUUUUGGACCCAAGGCUUGCUCUGCGGGCUGAUCCAAGCGGAACACAUUGUCAGGUGGGGAGUUUGGCUGGGGCGGCACAUCUGUUAAAAGAUAAAGUAUGUGUCCGAAGAUGAGCUCAACAAGAAUAGAAAUCUCAUGUGGAAUAGAAAGGUAAAAGCUCAUUUGAUU